rnacentral:rRNA from 1 species
UACAUAUUAGCUGCUUUUGGAUUCAGAGGUGCUCUCAAGCUUCAGAAUAAAUACUACGGUCCUUUCCUCAUAAUUCAGAAGGUGGGCAAUUCGGCAUACAAGCUUCAAUUCCCUCAAGGAGUUCAGAUACACCCAGUAUUCCACGUGAGCCAACUCAAGAAACACAUUGGCAGCAAAGCAAUUCCCAGCCCACUGUUGUCUAUGGUUAACAGUGAUGGCACAAUCAAAACGGGCCUGGCAGCAGUGCUUCAGGUCAGGCAGAUACCGCGGAACAAUUUACCCGUGGUGCAGUGGUUGAUUCAGUGGCAAAACAUGUCUGAAGAAGAAGCCACGUGGGAAGACGCUGAUUUUAGCAAGUACUCCUUCCCGGAUUUCUUCAAAACAACUACUCAAUCCUGGAGGGCAGCAACAACAACGACGUGA